AGUGAACGCUGGCGGUAGGCCUAACACAUGCAAGUCGAACGGCAGCACAGUAAGAGCUUGCUCUUACGGGUGGCGAGUGGCGGACGGGUGAGGAAUACAUCGGAAUCUACUUUUUCGUGGGGGAUAACGUAGGGAAACUUACGCUAAUACCGCAUACGACCUACGGGUGAAAUCAGGGGAUCUUCGGACCUUGCGCGAUUGAAUGAGCCGAUGUCGGAUUAGCUAGUUGGCGGGGUAAAGGCCCACCAAGGCGACGAUCCGUAGCUGGUCUGAGAGGAUGAUCAGCCACAAUGGAACUGAGACACGGUCCAGACUCCUACGGGAGGCAGCAGUGGGGAAUAUUGGACAAUGGGCGCAAGCCUGAUCCAGCCAUACCGCGUGGGUGAAGAAGGCCUUCGGGUUGUAAAGCCCUUUUGUUGGGAAAGAAAAGCAGCAGGUUAAUACCCCGCUGUUCUGACGGUACCCAAAGAAUAAGCACCGGCUAACUUCGUG
rnacentral:rRNA from 1 species